UCGAGCGAACCGAUUAAGAGCUUGCUCUUAAGAAGUUAGCGGCGGACGGGUGAGUAACACGUAGGUAACCUGCCUAUAAGACUGGGAUAACUCCGGGAAACCGGGGCUAAUACCGGAUAACAUUUUGCACCGCAUGGUGCGAAAUUGAAAGGCGGCUUCGGCUGUCACUUAUAGAUGGACCUGCGGCGCAUUAGCUAGUUGGUGAGGUAACGGCUCACCAAGGCGACGAUGCGUAGCCGACCUGAGAGGGUGAUCGGCCACACUGGGACUGAGACACGGCCCAGACUCCUACGGGAGGCAGCAGUAGGGAAUCUUCCGCAAUGGACGAAAGUCUGACGGAGCAACGCCGCGUGAGCGAUGAAGGCCUUCGGGUCGUAAAGCUCUGUUGUUAGGGAAGAACAAGUGCUAGUUGAAUAAGCUGGCACCUUGACGGUACCUAACCAGAAAGCCACGGCUAACUACGUGCCAGCAGCCGCGGUAAUACGUAGGUGGCAAGCGUUAUCCGGAAUUAUUGGGCGUAAAGCGCGCGCAGGUGGUUUCUUAAGUCUGAUGUGAAAGCCCACGGCUCAACCGUGGAGGGUCAUUGGAAACUGGGAGACUUGAGUGCAGAAGAGGAAAGUGGAAUUCCAUGUGUAGCGGUGAAAUGCGUAGAGAUAUGGAGGAACACCAGUGGCGAAGGCGACUUUCUGGUCUGUAACUGACACUGAGGCGCGAAAGCGUGGGGAGCAAACAGGAUUAGAUA
rnacentral:rRNA from 1 species